AUGAACUAACUAGACUCAAAAAAUUCGUUUCGUAAAUUUCGAUCAAACUGUGCAAUUAGUUUUUAUUUUCGUUUAUAUUUAAUACUCUAUGCAUGCGUCUAAAGAUUCGAUGUGACGGAGAAUCUUGAAAAGUUUUUGGAUUUUGGGUGGAAGUAAACAAGGCCUUAGUUCACCCAAAAAACUAAAAACUUUUCAAGAUUCUCCAUCACAUCGAAUCUUGUGGCACAUGCAUGGAGUAUUAAAUAUAGAUAAAAAUAAAAACUAAUUACUCCCUCCAUAUAAAAAAGAAAGUCGUUUUAGGACAGAAUUUAGCAUACCAAGGAGAGAUUAAUUAGGAUGAAGUUUUUCCUGUUUUUCUCUAAUAAAUACAGCUUCACGUGCAUUCUUUUUAAGAAAGUUUCGUAGACCAACUGGCUAGCGACGACGUUUUUUCCGUAAUCCUGUUCCGAGGCAGAACGACGUUCUUUUUUUAUAUGGAGGGAGUAUGUAAAUUACUCAAUGAAUCUUUUAAGCCUAAUUACUUCAUAAUUAGACGAUAUUUGUCAAAUGAAAACAAAAACGCUACCGUGUCAAAAUCUAAUAACUUUUUGAUCUAAAUAAGGCUCUAGUUUCUCUAGAGAAAAAAUAAAAGAGUAGUAUUCACAUGGGUGGUUACCUAAACAGUAGAGGAGUGAUUUAAAAAAAUAGCAGAGGAUCGGUCUGGGAUUGCAUUGGAGGAGAUGCUGAUGGUGGAGGGGAGCUUGGCAGACAGCUAGAUACUCCAUACCUAUACUUCUAGGGCCUAGUUCAUCAAAAACCAAAAACUUUUCAAAAGUUCUCGUCACAUCAAAUCUUGCGGUAUAUGUAUAGAACAUUAAAUAUAGAUAAACAUAAAAACUAAUUAUAACUGUCCGUAAAUCGCGAGAUGAAUCUUUUAAGUCUAGUUAUUCUAUGAUUGGACAAUGUUUGUUAAAUAAAAAAUGGUACAGUAUCGAAAUCUAAAAUUUUUUCGGAUCUAAACAAGGCCUUGUUUAGUUCCCAAAAUAUUUUGUAAAAUUUUUCAUAUCAAAUUUUGAAGCACAUGCAUAAAGCUAAAUAUAGAUAAAAGAAAUAACUAAUUACAUAAUUUACCUGUAAUUUGCGGGACAAAUCUUUUGAAUCUAAUUAAUCUAUGAUGGAUAAUAUUUAUCAAAUAUAAACGAAUACUACUAUUUUUAUUUUGCAAAUUUUUUGAAAGUAAACAAAUGGCCUCCAAAAUCUUCACAUAACGCGCGCGCUGUGCACAACGUCGUCACGUACAGAAACGAUGCCGGGGAGGAGGAAGAAGAAGAACAGUGCACCGGCAAGGUUAGGGUUUGGGGUGUAGCUUGGGUACCUCCAAUGAACUCCGGGCUUAGAAGAGAAGGCCUUGGGGCGGCGGUUGGACGGGCGGUGUGAGACAACCAGUUGGCUUGACCAGUUGACCGCUUGAGCCGGCGAUGGGGGCGAGGACCGAGAGGAACAAGAUUUUUUUUCCUCCUAUAUAGGGAUUAGGUGAGGGCGGGGGUGGGCGGCGCAACGAUUCCGAUUCAGAUUAGGGGAAGGCGGGCUGGAGCGACGGAGGUGGUUGGCUGGCGGCGCGGCCAGCGGCGAGGGCGCCGCUGGCUGGGGGCGGCAGCGGGGGAGCAGAAUGGCUCCACAAAGAGGAAGAAUAGAGGAAGAACAGGGAAGAAGAAAGAACCCGUGCGCUGAUAAAGAGUCCUAUGUGGCAUCACCUCUGCUGCUAGUUCCUUACUCCACACACGUUCUGGUUUCCGGCAGGGUACUCGUUCGCGUCCGACGAUGGACGCCGUGGUGGAUUUGUUCAGCAAGCUCGCUGAUGUCACCUUUAACGCCGCUUGGAAAGAGAUUACUAGGCAGCUGAAAUUCAGUGAAGAUUUGGGGAGCAUCAAGGACAAUCUGUCCCUCAUUCAAUCAUUCCUCAGGGACGCGGAGAGGCAGUCAUCAAAGCUGCAGAGCGUCCGACACACGCUAAAGAAGCUCAAGGCUGCAGCUUAUGACUUGGAGGAUAUGCUACUGCUCUUCGAGUCCUGGACCACCACCCACAAGGGUGAAGUCCUUCCACUUAGCGCCAAGGCUACAAAGGUCAGUUGCCACUUGCCAUCUAUAAUACUUCAAAGCUAAACUGUGGUAUCUUAUGAUGAACUCUGUACGUUGUGUGGCAUUUAUUGACAGCAGGAAUUAGUUGCAUGCUCUGAAAGGUUGAAGAUGCCUCAUAAAUUGAAAAGAAUGAGGGAAACAAUAGAGGAGAUAAUAGAUCACCAGAACAAAUUCAACUUCAUAGAAGACACUAGAAAGAACGACGAAGAAGUGUUCAGGAAACGUGAGACAUUUUCAGAUGCUGAUGAAGUCCCCAUUGGGAGGAUUGAAGAAAAAGAAAGAAUAAUCAGUAUGCUGCAAGCAGAUGAUUCAAACUUUUUCAUCGUUUUUAUUUAUGGUUUUGGAGGAGUAGGUAAAACUACUCUUGCCCAGAUGGUCUUCAAUGAUGAUAGAACAAUGCAAUUCUUUGACUUCCAAGUGUGGGUCUAUGUCUCUCUAAAAUUCGAUAUCAAGACCAUCGGUCAAUCUAUCAUCUCCCAACUGGAUAAAUCAAGUAGCUCUGCAGAUAUCACCUUACAAGCUACACGGGACCGCUUGAAAACUAUUGUUAAAGGGCAACGGUUUCUUAUUGUUCUGGAUGACCUAUGGGAAGAAGAUCCAGAUGAGUUGGAAAAACUAAGGACACUGCUGCGGGGUGCUAAAGCAGGCAGCAAGAUCAUUGCAACCACACGCAGUGUAAAAGUUGCUAAGCUAAUGAAUGGAAGUUUGACAAUAGAAUUAGGUGCUUUGCCGGACAAUUGCUGCUGGGAGUUGUUCAGAGCAAAGGCAUUUCCACAUGGAAAGGUGGAUGCUGAUAAGGAAAGUAUAGGAAGAGAGAUAGUAAAUAAAUGCAGCGGAAUGCCACUAGCAGCAAAUUCUCUGGGUCGCCUUUGCCGUAGAACUGAUGAAUGGAAAGCUAUACGGGAUAGUGAUAUCUGGGCAGAAGAUGGAGAUGAUGUACCUUUCAUAGACACCAAAGUACUACCAUCACUGAAGCUUAGUUAUCAAUACAUGCCUUAUCAUCUCAAACCCUGUUUUGCAUAUUGUGCUGUUUUUCCUAAAGGCUCCCACAUAGAGAAGAGCAGCUUGAUUCAGCAGUGGAUUGCUCUUGGAUUUGUUCAGCUCCCUGCUGCUUGUCAGUCGUUCACCGUUCAACAAGCUGGAGAAAGAUACUUUGAGGAGCUUCGUGAGAUGUCAUUUCUUCAGGAUGUAGCUGGAAUGUCUCCAACUGUAAGUCCUUGAUUUCUUUUACUUCUUACUAUUUGAUGUCAAAGUUCUAUUUAGGUAGUCUCAUCUAGUUCCACUAUAAAAAAAGGCAAUCUAUGUCAAUUAUGUUCUUCUUUUUUUAUAAUACAUGCUACCAUGCAAGUUAAUUAUGACUAAACUUGGGCAAGGUAGUUUACUAACAUGGGUUCAAUUUCAUCUUUCAGCCAUUUGCAAGAUAUAACGAACCUCGAGGUGUACAAUUCCAGAUGCAUGAUUUGGUUCAUGAUCUAGCUAGAUUAGUUGCAGGUGAUGAAGUUAUUGCCUUUGAUGCUAAUAGGCAACAAAAGCCUCAUGGUAAUACAGACAACUGCCGACACAUGUUGCUCUCAAAUUUAUGUGACUCAUCCCUAUAUUAUUGGUCUAUACCUAGCACAGCAAGGGCUCUUCGUUUUGAGAAGUGCAGCAUUGCUCAGACUAGUUUGAAGUCUUUGAUGGGAGCUGAAUUCUUACGUGUACUGGAUUUAAGUACAUGUACUACUAUUGCCAAUCUACCUGAUUCUAUCAACAAUUUUAGACUGUUGAAGUUCUUAAAUAUAUCUGGAAUGCAAACUGGCCUUUUGCCCAAGUCCCUAAGCUCCUUGCAUGGUUUACUAGCAUUGAAUCUUUCUGAAAAUACUGGCCUUGUUGAUAUUCCCAGUUACAUUUGUGAAUUUGUCAACCUACACUAUUUGGAUCUACAUGGCUGCUCAAAUCUUAGAGAGCUGCCACAAGAAAUUCAUAUACUCAAAGAGCUGCUACACCUGAACCUAUCAGGAUGUGGUAGCCUACAAUCUCUGCCUAAUGAGUUUGGGGAGCUUCGAAAACUCUCAUUCCUCGACCUUUCAUAUUGUUCUCAGCUUCAAUCGCUUCCUUCAAAGUUUGGUGGGCUUCAGGAACUUUCGUUUCUCAACCUGUUGCAUUGUUACCAACUUUGUGAGCUGUCUGAUUCUUUCAUUUACCUUGCAAAUAUGAUACAUCUGAAUAUGUCCUUCUGCCACCAGUUGAAACUAUUGCCUAGUGGGUUAUUCAAGUACAUGAAGAAGCUUCUAGGUUUGAAUUUGUCUGGCUGUACCUCUCUUGAAGUUCUUCCUGAAGUUUGUGAGAAUGAUGCUGGCUGCCCGAUGUUGGAAACUUUGGACUUAUCAAAUUGUACUAAUCUGGCUGCCCUUCCAAAUUCCUGCACCAGUCUUUGUGAGCUCCGGUAUUUAAAUCUAUCAGGUUGUUCUCGAAUUAACAACUUUCUAAAUUUGAUUCCACACUGGAAAUUCGAUAAGUUGGAAUACCUAAAUCUCUCUGGGUUUGAUGCAAAAACUUAUCCUGAAGCUCCAGGAACCUCUGUGGCAAAUGUAGAGAGUUCAGAAGAUCUCAAUAGAGAACUAGAGCUAGGCAUGCUGCAAGAGGAUAUCAUCACCCAACGUUUGCAUCAUCUUAAGUACCUAUCAGUUGGAGGGUUCACACUCUUCUCAAAACAAGGCAUUGCAAGCUUGGUAGACCUUCUAACCUUGCCCAACUUUAAUGUACAGGCACAACCUGCAGACAACCACAGCAAUAUUAUGCUUCUCCAGCAGAUCCUGGAUCUCACACAUCAUGAGCUAAACAUCAAAUGCCUUGAGAAUGUGGUGUCGCCAGAGGAAGCAAAGAAAGUGGAACUGAGCAGGAAGCAACAGCUUCAUUUCUUGAGUUUUGAAUGGUCUUGUUUUUUGUCUUCUUUGACACCUGAUGGGACUGGUGAGGAAAAGGCUAUGGCAGUUUUGGAACAUUUCAGGCCCUAUUACAAUUUACAGUGCCUCUCUUUAAAAGGCUACAACGGAACCAGAUUUCCUAAUUGGGUUAACAAGAUAGAUGACACACUCCCAAAUCUGGUGAAAAUUGUAUUGUCCAAUAUCAAAUGGUGUGACCAUAUUCCUACAUUGGGACAUUUACCAAAUCUACAGGAACUGGAGAUUAAUGAUAUGCCUCUGCUUCGGCAUGCACGAAUUGUACCAUGCAAGAAGUUAAGACGGCUGACAUUGGUUGGACUGCAAGACAUCACUGUACUUAUAUUUUAUGAUUACAACUCAGAAACACAAGUAAAUGAUGUGCACGAGACAGGAGUACAUGAGGUGGUAUUAUGUUGUGACUUCGAUGAGGAAGAGAGAGAAACAAGAGAUUCUCUUCCCAUAAGUAAGCAAGUCAAAAGAAAGGCAGCGGCAGCAGGCCUUGUAGCAAAGGUUAAGGGUUGUUUAAAAGCUCCACGCUGUGGCACGUCGACAGAAACAAAGAGAAUACACUACAUUGGUGCUGGAAAUGACGCACCUGCUGUCACCUGCAAGCCAGUACUAACUCCAGCUCCCUCUAAAGAAAGAAGAGAACAGGCAGCAGGCCCUACACUUGAUUAUUUGAAGAUAGAAAGCUGUCAUAAUCUAAAACUGCAUCCAUAUAUCCCUAUGUGCAAGGAGUACUUCGUCAAGAAUAGCUUUCUCAAUCUGGAUCAUAUCGAGGAAGAUGCCAUAGGUAUCCAAAGAUAUGAUAUGUUGCCUUUGAAUCCCACAUUCAAAUCAAAAAUGUGGAUAGAGGACUGUGUUGAAAGACAUGAUGAUUCUGUAAAAUGGAUUAUGAAAGUAGUUACAAACACCAACGUGGAGGAGCUUUUUAUCACUAGAUGCUACAUCAUUGCCAGACCGCCCAUAAUAGAGGAGCGGCCUUUUGGAACCCUUCGGAAAGUCAAGAUAACAGAUUGCACGGGGCCGUUUCCUAAAAUAUUGGCUCUAUUCACAUCACUACAGGAAAUUGAAGUCAAUUCCAUCCGCAACUCCUUCUGGCGUGACUCACUGCAUAAAAUGACCAGAUUGGAAAAAUUGACUACACCAUCUCCUGAACUUCUUGUUUCAAUGUUGUCCGGUUAUCAUCAUAUUCCGUAUGUCAAUACGAAGGAGGUAAAUUGCCCCUAUUUCCUUUUUUAAAAGAAUUAAAAUGUUUAAUUUACUUCUUGGCCCCAGCACAGGAACAUUGUCCAGAAAGCACCCAAAACUAACUUUAUGUUCAAUUUAUCUCUCAAGAUAUUUCAGUUGGUCUAAUCUACCAUUUAGUAAGAUUUUCCUUUCUUGUUUCUCCACAUGUAAGUUGAAUUUUAAGUUUCAAUCUUGUAGGUUGAAAGAAAUCAUAUUUUAUGUUACAAAAAUAUAUUAUGAAUGUUCACCAUUAAUUUUUAAUAACUUAGGCGUCUAUAAUAAAUUAAUCCUACAUACAAAAUUGUACAAAAAUUAUGAUGAAAAUGUGAAUGUAUUUUUCUAACAUAACUACAUAAGUUAUGAUGUUUGGUACUGGAAAACAUCUCAAGCAGCCCCCUUAGUUUAAAUAUAUGCAAUUCAUGUACAAAUCCCGCGCACCUUCUGAAAAUAUCUCCCAAGACUAAGCACAAAAUUUAUAUACAUUAUUACCUCAUUCUAAAACAUAAGAAUUCUUAGUUUAUCCCAAGUCAAAUUGUUUUAAGCUUGACCAAUAUAAUAAUUUUUUGUAUUGAAUGGGUAUUUUGUCAAACUUAUGACAAUUGAACUUUGGACAAACUCAUGUUCCCUUGUAUUUUAGGACGUCCAUACUAAUAGAGUAACCAUUUGUGAAAAGACUUGUCCUAACCAAACAAAGCAUAGCUUGCAUUCUGUCCUAUGCACAUUAAAUCAUUAACCAACUGCCUCGUUUAGCCCUGUUUAGUUAAUCCCCUUUCCAAUGUGAUUCGAGAGGAUACAGGAGAUUUUAACUUAUAAGAAAUUUAUUAAUCCUCCUCAAUUCAUUUUCAUCCCUCUAAUCCCUUCAAACCAAAUAAAUAGCAUUAACAAAGUUGAAGGAAGGGUUUGUUUUCCUUAUCCACAAAAGAAUAUCUUCACAUAUGUGUUUUUUUUUAAAAAAUACCAUUCAAAAAAUAGAUUUUUAAAAUAACCUACCCUCAAAAGUAUUUUAAAAUAUAAUCCGUUUGGCCACACCUGUCCACUUGUCGCGAAAAAAAAAAACGCUACCAUGCCACAUGCAUUGGCUCGGGAAAUCUGCCACACUGGUGGCAGGUGCGUACAAAGCGUGCUCAUGUCGUAUCAGAGGGAGUGACGUGACAAAAACAUAGUGUCAUGCCAUAAGGAUUUGCCCAACAGGAUCGAUUCAUUUCCCCAAAAAAAAAAUAGUAAUCAGACUUGAAAUCCUACGAAACCGACAUGUGCAUUGUACAUAGUGUAAUGUUCCAUUUUGGUGAUAUGCACAAAACCAAGCGUUAUAAUUUUUGAAAUAUCUAAUUUGAAAGUAGGAUGUAUUAAUGCUGCGACGAGAGAAUGAGUUUCCCAAUAUUGGAAAUAAAUAUUCAAUCUAUUAUCCUUUCCUCAAAUUUAUUUAGGUUGAAUAUAAAUAUUUUAAGAUUUUGAUUGGGUUGCAGUAUGAUAUGUAGUUGUUCCAUUUUAACUAUAAUGACAUCAUCAAUUGUUGUAAAAUUAUAGUUAUUUAAUUGAAUUGUGCUAAAAAAUAUAUCUAAGUUGGACUAUUUAUCAAAGUUUUUAAUGAUCGAAUAUUUAGAUACUCUUAAGAAAUUGUAAGAUCUACUCGAAUUUAAUCAAAACUCUGACAUGGAUAAAAAUUUCGGUGUGGUCAUUCAAUUUCGCUAACAUACACGAUAGCAUUUGUAUAUGUUCAAAAUCGCCAAUAUCACCAUGGGAGUCGGAUGGCUAUCGUAUGCAUACUAAUGUCGGUAGUAGUUUAUUUAGUUUUAAAUGUUGAAUGUGGUACAAUGCAGGUGGCUCUUUUUAGCGUAAGACCAAAGCGGAGUUGGGUGUACAGGAAUCCACUUUUAAUUUUUGACAGCUACAGGCAGCAGCUACAUUGGAAAGAAGCACUGGAGGAGGAAGAAUUAGAAAAACUAGAAGAAGAGGGAGACAAGAAAGAGGAGGAAGAUCCCCUCAGGCACUGGGUUCACCGGAAAAAAGAGAUGGAAGAGAAUGAAACACAAGGGGAAGAGCACCCCCUACAGUUUACCACUGGCUCUGCCACUAAUUGCUCCAAUAACUUCUCCCUUCUAUAUCAAUACCAUGACUACAAAAUUGAGCAGAUAACUAUCCAGAAUCUUGAGCAUGUGGAGAGAGCAGAGGAAGUAAGCGGGCAAGGCCAGUUGUCCCAAUAUCGGCAACUGCAGUCACUGAGUUUGAUGUGGUCUAGCAGCAGUUUACCACAGGAUUCAAGCAUAGUUAAUGACUUUCUGAUUCUUGAAAAACUCCAGCCUCAUGGGACCCUAAAAACACUUCGAAUACAAGGCUAUAGGAGUCGUACAUUGUGCUCCUGGGUGAUGGAUAUAAGUAUUUCCCUUCCAAAUCUUGUGAAAGUUGAGCUGUCUGACAUGAUAUUGUGUGAGCAUAUCCCUUUAUUAGGCAAAUUAGCAAACCUGGAAGAGCUGUGCAUCUCAAAUAUUCCUUGUGUCACCAAAGUUGAUGCUGCUAUAUAUGGAGACAAGACACCAUUAUUUAGGAAACUCAGAGAAUUUACAAUCAAGAAAAUGAAUGGCCUUGAGAAGUGGGAACUUCUUCAGUACUGUGUUAAUCUGGAGCAACUGAGUAUUCGUUCCUGUAUCGACCUUACUACCUUGCCAGAUAGCAUCCGAAGCUGCCUCUUCCUCAGCAAAUUAGAGGUACUAGAAUGUUGGAAUUUUUCUGCUUUACCAGAAUGGAUUGGAGAACUCGUAUCACUGCGUGAGCUGUGUGUACAUGCUGCCAAACUCGAGCGAUUGCCCCAAUCCAUUCAAGACCUCAGUGCUUUGGAGAAGCUGGUCCUUAAGAAGUGCAACUACAGACUCCGCAAACGUUGCACAUCAGGAGAGGACAAAGAUAAGAUAAAACACAUUGGAAGUGUAGAUAUAACUCAGGUAAAUUACUCUGCAUGUCUAUAUGUAUGACUUAUAUUCAGCUGUACAUAAAAUAAUAAUUCGGCCAUCCCUUUUAUUUCUUCUUGUCUUUGAAAAUGCAGAGCCCUUUUCUCUUGGUCCGUUCAAAUGAUAUGUUUAUGGAGAGGAUUUGUAGUCCCCAGCUUAUUGAAAUACAUAUUGUGUGUUCUAAAUACGAUAAAGUAUCCUCGCUUGAUGUAAAAAAGCUUCACCCUUAUGACUCGCUCGAAAUACUUAGCUUAAAGGGAUAUUAUGGUGCAUAUAACCCUCUUUGGAUGUCAUCACUCCCAAACCUUGUGAAAUUAGAGCUCACUAGUGUGGUACUUGAACAUAUCCAUCUGGAUCAGUUACCAAACCUUGUGAAAUUGGAGCUCUCCAGUGUGGGAUUUGAACACCUCCGUCUGGAUCAGUUACAGAGCCUCCAAGAGCUACACAUUUCACGGGUACAGAGCAUAGGGUCAAAAGUCUGCAUCUGGUGCACAGAACCACUUAGAAAGCUCAGAAGAAUUACAAUGUCCGAAUUAACCAACCAGGGGUUGCAAAUAUCCAUGGAGCGGCAGGGUCAUAGCAAUGAGAAUUUGUUUCCAGGCCUUCAAGAUCUGGAGAUACACUGUUGUUCUAUGUUGAGGUUUGAACCAUCAAUCCCAAGGAGUGGCAGGUACAUCUUAUCAGGCAGGAAAGGACAACCAGGCCAAGACAUGUGUCCGUCUUUUCAUCGAAUCAUGGGGCCAUCCAUCCCUGCCUCAUUAUACAAAAUGGAGAUCAGGUAUAGCAGAGGGUUUUCAUCCACAUCCUGGAACGGUCUACGACACUUUGACAUCAGGGAAUUGAUUAUAGACGACUGUUAUGAUGAUAUACCUUUGCCAGAGAGUAUUCGGGGAUGGAGAUCCCUCCGGAAACUCGAGAUAUUGAACUGUGACGAAAUUACGGCGCUGCCAGAGUGGCUGGGCGAGAUCACCUCGCUCCGGGAGCUCAAGGUGGAGACUUACUUUAUGACAACUUUACCUGCAUGCAUCCAACAGCUCACCGGAUUGCAGACCUUGACCCUUUUAAACUGUGGACCAGUGCUUGAGAAGAGAUGCAAAUCUGGAGAGGAUAAGAACAAGUUGGCACAUAUUCCAAAUGUGACUAUAUUAUAGCGGAUGAAAAUAAUGGAAAGUAUCAACUGUAGUAUAGACUGAGAUAACUCCCCACCAUCAUCGGCGUCCAUGGAUGCUUAAUAUUCGAAUCCGGUAAGAGGUUUAUCAUUUCUCCUGUUUCCCCCUGAAUUAUUGCCAACAAAAUGAGGUGCAAGCCUAUGCUUUAAUGUGGAUCAUUGUUAAAUGUGAUGGAGAAAUUUUUUAACACUUUUCAGGACCUUGAGUUGAGUCGGAGGGAUGCCAUGGGCUUCAUUCCUGCUCAGUUACUCCAAGCCGGUGAGCGGUGAGGACCCUCUCAUUUCUUUCCCCCUGUUCACGGUGAAUUGAAAUGUUCAGUUGAUAAGAGCUGAACGCUUAUAUUGAAUAAAGAUCCCAUAUAGAGUAUAUAUAAUUCGCUGUAGAUAUCCUUUCUUUGUGCUCAUGUUUGCUCCUCCUGUUGUUAAUGAGUUGCAAGUGUAGGUUUGUUUGCAUCCAAUCAUGAAUCUUGGCCCUCCUGUCCUAUAUAUGAUUAUUUACCUGUUCACAAUAGUGCUUGUAAGUGUCUCUCAUCACUCAUGGUUGAUGAAGUAGAAGCAUAGAUUGAUUUGCGUCGUAUCAUGAAUUUUGACCCUGGUCUGUUCAGAUUUUGAAAUGUGACUGAACUGAUGUACUAGAAAGCAGGUUGGUGCCAAAAGUGAGGCCUCCCGUGCUUUCUGCAAAGGACCAAGCAUCCACAUGCUUACUUUGUUUUCCAUGCACCUCUCAUCCGGCCUUGUUUAGUUCGUGAAGGGAAAAAUUUCGCGACACUGCAGCACUUUCGUUUGUUUGUGGUAAUUAUUGUCCAACCAUGGACUAACUAGGCUUAAAAGAUUCAUCUCGUCAAUUUCGACCAAAAUGUGCAAUUAGUUUUUAUUUUCGUCUACAUUUAAUACUUCAUGCAUGCGUCUAAAGAUUCGAUGUGACGGAGAAUCUUGAAAAAUUUUGGGUUUUUGGGUGGAAGUAAACAAGGCCUUAAAAUUUUUCCCCUUCUGUAUCAAUCUUGUCCAGCAUCAAAGAAGGGACUGCACGCUGACCUGCAGCAUGCUAUCAAUAUAUAUCCACAAUUCCAUACCGAAGCAGCCUGAAUGGAUAGUGAAGAGCUGAAAUUGCUAAUUGUAACGGAAACAUGCUUUGCUAUAUAUUUUUCGCGGUGAAGAAUGAAGGACGAACCAGUGUGUCGUAUUUACCUCUUGAUGAGGGCUUGAAUUUUAACCGCAUGUGGUGGUUGAUUCUUCUUCGCCACUGGACACUGGUGUAGUGUGUUUGCCUGUACUUCGUACAGUGCAUGAAUGCCUGGCUAUAUCAUGUUGGUUUUUUGUUUUAUUUCUAAAAUAUAUGUAAGUUAUUUAAGUACUACUUCAGUUUCAAAUUAUAAGGUAGUUUGGCUUAGUUGAUAAGCGCAUAAAGGGUCAGAAGAAAGGAAAAGUCCGUCAGAAUAGCCAGAGAGAUUAAGCAAGCAAUCUUGAAAUCUCUGAAACAUAGCAAUGGUCAAGGGAUCACAUCUCUACAAGUUAAUCAGGCAUUGCAUCUGCUCUCCUGGGCAUGCAUGCGCUCUUCCAACUGCUGCGCACACGCUAUACUAGCUUGCUUGGCACAUCGCAACGGCUAUUUGUGAACAAGACAGCAUGGGUAGAUCAUAUAAUAAUGAUAGCAGCUAGCCAUGCUCUGGUAGCAGCUUGUGCCUUGUCCACAGGGGUGCGGUUUAGAAAUCCCUUUAACAGUUCCUUUAUUCAUCCUAAAAUAAUUGAUAAAAAUAUAGAUUUAGCUCUAACUGAUACAUACUAAAAAUAUCUUACACUAUUUGUAGCCCUCUCUUUGAGGUAUUUCUGGAUCCGCCACUGCUUGUCCAAGUACUUUAUUCAGGGUGUCAAGACGAUGGCCCAGCGGUGCAGUAGCGGCAACCAGCGCCGACCAUGAAGGCGACCGUCUCGUCAUUCGUGGUGCCCGACUUGGAGUCCAGUUGACGCAGCCACGCAGAGAUCAAGGAUCCCGCGCACAGAUGGAAGGUGCUUCGUGAUUUCUGGGUAGAGUUCAUGAUAUAUGUUGCAACGUCAGAGGAUACUAGGGCACAACUAAAAACUUAGGUGAAUUCAUCACACAUCUUUGGGUUUUGCUUUACUCUUUGGGUUUUGGCGUUGGUAUUUCCUUUCGGAACAUAUUUUUUUGACCUCAUUUUUCAGUACCUAUAGAGCGGGGCUUGGGGCUCGUAGACGAUAUUAUUAGUUAUUUUUGAGGUGGUAGAACACUAGCUGACGGUGGAAUUUAAUUUUUACAGACGGUUUUAAUUAAAAACGCCUGUAAAAAUAAAUUGGCGGGCCCAACUCAAAAACCGCCUGUGAAAAUCAAUUUUCACAGGCGUUUUUCCUAAUAGGAGGUUCUCUUAAAAAACCACCUGUAAAAAUCAUAUCUGUACAGGUGGUUUCUUAAGAAAUCCGCCUGUAGAAAUAAUUUCAAGUUGAAUUUUUUGAGUUUUUCAAAUGACCUCGUUUGAAAAAACUAUCAAAAUAAAAGUUGUAGAUCUCGAAAAGUUAUCAAACUUUGUAGUUGAUAAUUUUUUCAUUUGAAAUCAUCUUGUCGUCAAAAACUACGUUUGAAUUUCUCAAAUUUAAAAUUUAAAUUUUGUAAAUGACCUCGGAUGGAGAAACUACCAAUAUAAAAGUUGUAGAUCUUGAAAAGUUAUGAAACUUUGUAGUUGACAACUUUUCUAUUGGAAUCCAUUUAGGGCCUCAAAUAAUCAAUAUAUGCUCGGUUUAGGAGAAUAUGUGGGGAACUAAACUCUAAUAUAGUCAUGAGUGAUAGGUGGAGUGGUAGAGGAGACUACGCGCAAGGGCAAGGUCUUAGGUUCGAAUCUCACCAGCCGCGAAGCACGCGAUUUUACACGGAAAAAGCGAGAUGGGUGGGCGAUUAUCCAGUGGGGCCUUCCCUGUAAUUAAAUCUUUUUUUCUAUUUUUAAAAGUCGAUUUUGUAUUUUCUAUAAAAACAUUUCUACAGGCGGGUGGCAUAAUUGAACCGACGAUUCACAUAACUGAACCGCCCGCCUGUGAAAAAGUUUAUUUCCACAGGCCAAUAGCGCAGGCGGUUCGUCAAUCUGCCUGUAGAAAGAGGUUACGAACCGCCUGUAUAGUACCUCUGUGUACUGGUGGAAAACAAGUCCAUGGUUGAGGAGGCUUUUCUCUAUGUGUCAUUAAAAAAGAUGGUCCCUUUCUUUAUGCCAUUAAAAAGUUAGGGCGAAUCUAUAUGCCAUGACAAUUAUUUUUUGCCCCCCGAGCCAUUCUGUCCUAUCACGUCGGUCCGACUAGAAAAAAUAUCCAAAAUGCCCCUUAUCUUCUUCCUCUCCUUCUCAUUUUGCUCAGCCGGCCUCCACCUUGGACGACGGCAACUGGUGGUGGCCGUGGCCCCCGUUGCUCGACGCUGGCAGGGACUACCCGAAUGGGACGUCGCUGCAGGAGCGCCGGUGCAUUUUGCGUGGGCCCUGCUGCUGCUGCGCCACGUGGUCGAUGGCCUCCAUGCACACGUCUCUGCGCUGCAGCGCCGCGAACGCCUGCGACAGCGUCGGUGGCAGUCCCAACGCCGACGGCCUAGUCAGCUUGGCGCUGCCCUGCUCGGCCAAGAAUGCCGCCAUCGCAGCGACAUCCCCGCGCCUGCUGCAUCAUCGCGGCCACCUGAGUGUCGCCGAUGCCGUUCAUGCUGCGGCGAGCGCGGCCUGCACGCAGACGCCCGCACUCCACAAUUUCCCGCUGCUCAUCCACAUAAGGGCUUGUUUGCAUGUAGUCGGAUUCACAUCAAUCCACGUAUGUUGGGAUGGGUUGGAGUGUAACUUAAACUAAAUUCCACCUCAAUCCACCUCAACCCAUGUGGAUUGAGUUAAAUACAACAACAUCCAAACAAGUCCUAAAGCGUCAGGGACGACGUCGGUGGCGUGGCCGUGGCAGCAGCGGACACCUCGGCUAGGCUCGCCCCAAGCCCCAGCGUGCUCUCCAAAUGGCUAGAGAUGGAGCUCGCGGGCGUUCGCUAUAAGCUCUGCUUGCCAGCGGCAAGGCAGAGGGCACAUCCGGUGACCGGUGGCGGGCCGGGUAGGGCUUUCGCUGUGAGCUCGUUGGGUGGGGCCGCGCGGCCGGUGGCUGGUCAUGUGGGGUGUACCGGAGGAACGUUGCGCUGGUUGAGACGUUCAACUCCAUAAGCAACGGCGGGUGCAAGCUGGCCGACAACAAGUUCGUCGACUUGACGAACCACAAGUUCAGGGCCGUAUUCUCUUUCUCUCUGAAACUAUGAGCUUGCAUCGUCAGUAAUAAUAGCAUCACAGCAAGCAUCAGUUACUGUUGCGGCCUUCGAGAGAAAGGAAGAAGGUUGCGUGGCUGACGAACGGGCCUAAGGGUAUCUAAGUCAUUUGGUUGUGCUGUUACCUACCGUUAGGAGCAAAAUCGGACGGAAUGAUAUAGUGGGCAAAAGAGAUAAGUGUCGUAGCAUAGAGGUCCACUCCAACUUUCUAGUGACAUGAAGGAAGAAACCAUCUUUCUUAAUAGCACACAGAAAAAAGCCUCAUGGUUGAGCUGACCAAUUUAAGGAAGGCCCUAUGGUCCGACUGAGUCGUCACCAAGCAGCGCGCCGAACCUCUCUCCGCUCGAGGAAAUUAGAAAAAGGUUCAACUUUAACAAAAUUCCGAUUUUCCUUCCUCAACUGUAAAAUUGGCAAAAUCAUCUCUCUCAAUUUUUCAAAUCGUAUAUUUUACCUCCGUGGAGCGGUUUCGAAGACUGUUUGCUACUGUAAAUAGUUGUUUUUGCUACAGUGACUAUAGUUUUGUCUUUUUCUUUUAUUUAUUUAUUUCGGCUAACUCUUUUAUUUAUUUAUUUCGGCUAACUCUUUAAAAAAUAUAGUAAAUCAUAGAAAAAAAUAUAAAAUAGAAAAUCCAAUUUUGUUGGACUCCGCAUGAACAUAUCUAUACAGUGAACAUAUAAAAUAGAAAAUUAGAUUGCAUGUUUUAUGAUUUUUCUGUUAUUUACUAUGAUUUUUUAAAGAUUCAAUGAAAUAAAUAAAAAAGAAAGAAAAAGACAAAAAUUUUAUAGCAAAAACUUUAUAUUAAAGCAUACCAUAUUAUAUGUUUACUACAAGAACAUAUAACAAACUAGGAGCAUAUAUAGAUAGAUCAUAGAACAUCACAAAAAUAAAUCAUAUAACAUCACAAAAAGUGCAGUGCAUCUAUUAUAUGCUACGUGGAUAUCACAAAAAUAAAUUAUAGAACAUUACAAAUAUACUACACGAACAUCGCAUGAAUACCCAAACCUAAUCAUGGACCAUCUAUUAUAUGUUAUGUGAACAUCCAUAAAUAAAUUACAGAACACCAUAAAUAUAUUAUGCGAACAUCACAAGUAUCUCAUCCAAUAUAGGAAAUAAAAAGUAAAACAUGAACAUGGAAAUUUUGAAAUAAUUAGUGAGAGUAAAAUAACAACAAAAAAGGAAAACAAAUUUCCAAUAUUAUGGAAUAUAUAAAAAAUAACUAAAAUAAAAGGAAACAUUAAUAGAAGGUAGACAAAACACAAUGAAGGCAACAAUGAAAAAAUAAAAAAACACAUAAUUAAUUAGAAUGAAAUAUAGAUAAAGAUUUAUAAAAUUUAAAAGAAUGAAAAUAAGAAAAUCUACUAAAAAUAGAAAAAAAAAGAGAAAUAAUAAAUAGAAUAGAAGAAAGAAUAAAAAAGAAGCUAAAAAUAAAUACAUGAAAGAAAUAAAUAUGUAGAAUAAACAAUAAAAUAAAGAUUGAGAAGGUAGAGAAAAUAUAAAUAUAAUAAAAUAUCGUUGAGAACAAAAAAAGAAAAAAAGAAAUAGAACGCAAAAAAAACAAAAGAAUACAUACCUCGGAUAUUGGAUGGAGAGACACCGAGCUCGUAGAAACGUAGAUGGGCCAAGGCGCAAUGAAAAUAGAUCGGCUGCGCUCGCGCUCAUGGGAGGAUUUGGUCCGACUACUCGGCAGCGAUGGUUGCGGCAAUUCUAAGACUUCAUUUCGUGUCGACAUUAUGGAUAUCGGUUCUGAGCUUAGCAGCGCGAGUACGGGAACGUGGGCACGUUCGCGGAACGAGGACAUCGCUGGAUCGGAUGCCGUCCCAACAAGCGACGGAACGCGACUCGCUGGCGAUGGUUCGUGUUCUCAUCGGCUGCUCGGACGUCGAGCUUCCUCUCACGCAGCGCCCCAUGGCUAGAAAGCACCGCAGCGUUGCUGCUUCCUCUCUGUAACGCUGCUUGGCUCUCGCUGCCUGUCUUGUCUCGCCGUGCCGCUGUGACCGUGCGCUCGUAUGUCUCGAGUCUCGUGGUCGUGCAUCGGUGUAUGGCAGCGGCGACCAGCUGCCUUGCGUUGCGUGGCGUUGCGUCGUGCCCAUGCGUGGUGGCAGGGGCAAGCUGCUGUCAGCUUCCCAAGAUAGGCGAUGGGUGCAUGGGCUUUAAUGUGGGCCUAGGGUUCAAUAAGUGAUGGCUCAAUAUAAUAAGACAAAAAAAAACAAAUGAUAGGAAAAAUUGUAACACACACGGGAGUUAAACUCGGCACAUAUCAGAAUGACUCUUAUCUUGCAUGCAACAACUAUCACGUCCCCAACACGUCCCGUAAGAAGUUGGUACGCGUCCCUCCAGUUAAAGGAACGAAUCAAAGCUGUAUACCCCACAACUUUUGAAGAUGUUAUAUCACGUACCACAUUUUCGUACCACGUACUUUACGUUCCAAGAACAUGGCUGCUAAGGUUCUGAGUCGGAGUCACGCCGGAUCCCAACCGGGUCAUGGCUAGGUUAGUUUCUGCCCAUAUAGCCGAAGAGAGAGGGAUCCGGAGCGUCGCCGCCUCCCAUCAGGUCUACAAUCUGGCUUCUGACAUCACAUCCACAUACAAUCCGGUCGAAAUUUGAGAUGGCCAGCCGGUGAAAUCAAGGCGGAUCAAGCCAGCUCCGUUGACGGCGAGAACCCUGCUAAUGCGGUGGAGGUGGCGGCGGCCACUGCCACCACUUACGGAGAUGAUGGCGAAGGGGCUCCGGCCACAAGGGCGUUGGGCGGCAUGGUGAAGAAGCGGAUGCCAGAUACGGAGGUUCAGUCUAUCCUCUUUCGGGAGAGGAGGGAGUUCACGCCCGAUACUUCUAACAUGUCGGAGGAAGAAGUCGAGAUCAUUCGCGGGGGCAUUGAGGCGUUCAAUAUCCUCUUCAGACCCAGAUCUGAAUCCCCCUUGCCUUGAUCUACCAUUCCAUGGGGUUUAUGGAUAGGUUCUGCUACUUCCUCACAUUCUUGUGGAUUCGGAGUUCCGCGCGCGCCCCUAUAGCUGCCAACCCAGGAUCCACUGCCAUGGCCGCCCCUACACCUAAUGCUAUCUGCAAUGUUGUUGUCGGUCCCACCGUGCACCUCGGCGCGACCAAGACCAAUGAGCAGCUGAUGGAGGAUGAGUUUCUAGUCCUCGUCGAGGAUGUCAUGGAAGGCGAGGAUGAGGUUCGAUACGCGGACGACGUUGCGGCUCCUACGACGGCUGCAUAGAGUCCCUUUUUGUCGUUGGCGCCGAUGACACCAGAUCCUGAUGACGCGGCCACCUCUGGCUGCAUCAACGUCGGAGCUACGAUGGGCACCUCCACGAUGCGUGCGGUCAUCCCCGGCCUCGCUGUCAUAGGCUCCUCCCUCUCCCCAUCGGCAACUCCCUUCCUAAGGCUCUUCGUUGGUCACAGGAUGGCUACGACUGCUCCAACGAGGACCACUCCCUCGAUAAGUGUAAGCCAAAGGCUCCCUCCUUCGUCGACGUUGUCUGCCAGUAGUCCCAUUUGGCCUCCCCUCUUCCUUUCCGGGCACGACUGUGUUCUAUUGUGGUUUGGGGCCCUGACUGUGCUGCCGUAGGGAAGUGUGGCCCUGGUGGAGGCAGAGAGGCCAUCGAGCCUUACAAGCGUCGUUGGCGUCGGCUGCGUCCGUAGCUCAUCCUUGGGCUACCUAACCAGGUUGCGUGCGAUGUCGCCCAGCACGUGCCAGUCCAUUAGAGGUUUGGGCCUCGGGUGGCCGUAGGCUCUCUGUGCCGCUCUCAACUCUUGAUGCCGAUGGUUGGCCGAUGAUGCUGGUUUCUAGGCCUUUGGUUGGUUUGGAGGAACGAAGGCUAGCUCCAACAUGCUCGAAACGACGGGGGCGAGGUGCAUUUCGGAGGACUUGUGUAGCAAGUGCUUCAACUGCCUCUCCUCGUCGCAUCGAGUAGCAACCUACAAGUUGCCAUCGCGCUGCCUGCACUGCCGGCGUCUCGGGCACCUUGCGCGUCAUUGCAACCGACCGCGCCAUGGCAGCUCGGUGCCCAAGGGCAACGGUGGUCAUCAAGCCCAUCACUCUGUUUGUGUUGCAGAUGGUGUCGCUAUGGGUGUAGCUCGGCCUGCGACCCAUGGUGAUUCUUUUGACUACGGUGGUGUCCGUGGUCGGAGGCAUCAAAAGUGCAAGCGGAAGCAUAAGCUACCUAUUGUGCAAGUGCAACCGAGGGAGUCACGAGUUGGCACAGGUUAUUAGAAGGUAGCCAUGGCUAACACUGCCCGCCACGGCUAUGUCACCUGCCAACCACGGCGAGCCACGUCGUGUUGGGAUGUCCACUAGGAUCCUUUCUGAUGUUGACCUAUCGAUGAUACCUUUGUGCUUUGAUGUUGGACAAGUCAGUCGGAAUGUUGCGAAUGAUCUGAUGUUGGUGGAGCUCAUCGCGUCGCUCUGUGUCAUCCAGACAGCUACAGCCCCAGCAUUGGUGGUCGCGUCUCCUGGACGUGUUCAUGUUGUUUCCUCAGAGGACGAAGGACCUGGACUGUUGACUUUACCCAGGCAUAGUUGUGGCCCACCGCUGGUGGAUGAGCUACCAUCGGGUGGCUUUGGGGAUGGCAUAGUAACACUACGCAGUCUUUCAUCGAAGCUUUCAAACGGCCGCUUCAACAGCCGCUGAUUGCAUCCCCACCAAGGCUAUGCAUCACCAAAGAUCUCAAGAUUGCCGUUGAUAGCGAUUUCCUCCCCAAGCGCAACGCUCGGUUAGCUGCUAAGAGUAAGUUCAGAGUAGCAAAGCCGGAUGCCUAGACAAGAAAAGUGCUCAUGAAAAAGCUCGGGCUUGAGGUCAAGACGGACAAGCCCGAUGAGACGUCAUUUGAGGAGUUUAGGAGGUUGUCGCCAGAACACCGCUUCAUAUAAGGCGGGAAGUCAUGAAGGCUCUCUUUCUGGGAAGAUGCUUUAUUCGUGGUCUGGUGAGGGACGUUGAAUAGGCCAAGCGAUUCUACGCUUUGCCUAGAUGUAUUCACGAUCGCAUUCUAUAGUGCCAUAUAGUUCUUAGAUUGUGUUGUAAUCGCUAGACUCUUGCUCUAGCUUGUUGGCCUUCUUAACUGGUCCCGUAUGUUAUUGUCUUGUCAGCGGGUAUGAAACAAUGAGAGCUCAUUGAUAUCGUGUAACUUUUAAAUUUUCUUAUCCUUUUAAUGAAAAACAGGUUAUGACCUAUUCGCGAAAAAAAUCUGUGCUACUUUAACGAUCAUGUGGAUCUGGCUAAUGGGCUAGGUCAGGCAAUCAAGGCCCUGUUUAGAUUGGAGAUGAAAAUUUUUAAAACUAAUAAAAAACAAAUUACAUAGCUCGUCUGGAAACUGCAAGACAAAUCUAUUAAGCAUAAUUAAUAUGUCAUUAGCACAUGUGGUGUAGCACUUAAGGCUAAUCAUGGACUAACUAGGCUUAAAAGAUUCGUCUCGCGAUUUUCAACCAAACUGUAUAAUUAGUUUAUUUUUUAUCUACAUUUAAUGUUUCAUGUAUGUGUCUAAAAAUUCGAUGUGAUGAAUGAAAAAUUUUUAGAUGGGGAACUAAACAGGACCCAAAUAGACCCAUUUGGUCAUUUGGUCCACGCAAUCAAACAUGUCCAGAAUUGGUGCACUUAGGAAGAAGUCCACUUCAGUCUCUCAACUUUUGCAAAAGUCUGUUUUUCAUCCCUGAACUUUAAAACCGGGUAAAAUACAUCCCUCAAUUUUUGAAACCAUGCAUAUUACAUCCCUGACAUGUUAUGAGCGGUUUUGAAGGCAGUUUUGUCUUUUUUAUUUUUAUUUAUUUUGGUUAAAUAUUUGUAAAAUUAUAGUAAAUCACAUAAAAUUCAUAAAAUAGUAAAUCUGAUUUUGUUGGACUCUAAAUAAGUAGAUCUACAUAGUGAACAUAUAAUAUAGUACACUUUAGUACAAAAUUUUUAUUGUAGCUUUAGAUAUGUGUUUUUCUAUAAUUAAUUAGAAUAAUUCAUAGCUAUAGUUUGUAUGGUACACUUGUGGUGAAUUUUUUUAUGUUGGACUAAUUAUUAUAUGUUUAAACUAUGGUAAAAAUUUCAUACUCAUUAGGUCAUGUAUAACUUAGUUAUAGAUUUAUUAUAAUUUAACAAGCAUAAACCUAAAUAAAUCUAUAACUAAGUAAUACGUGAUUCAAUGAGUAUUAAAUUUUUACUAUGACUCAAACAUAGAAUAAUUAGCUCACCAUAUAAAUUUCAUCACAAUUGAACCAUAGAAAAUGUAGCUAUAAUUAGUCUAAUUAAUUACAGAAAAACAUAGAUCUAUAGAUGCAUCAAAAAAAAUUUGUACUAGAACAUACUAUAUUAUAUAUUCAAUGUGUAGAUCUACUAAUCUAAAGUCCAACAAAAUUGAGUUUUUUAUUUUAUGAUUUUUAUGUGAUUUACUGUGAUUUUUCAAAAAAUUCAGCCAAAAUAAAUAAAAAGAAAAAAGGUAAAACCGCUUUCAAAACCAGGUCAAGGAUGUAAUGUGCACAGUUUAAAAGUUGAGGGGUGUAUUUUGUCCAGUUUUAAAGUUUAGGGACGAAAAUCAGAUUUUCGUGAAAGUUGAGAGACGUAAAGUAGACUUUUUCCGUGCACUUAAAUCCUCAAGUUCUGAGAGGCCGAAAUUUUGAAACGAGAAAAAUCCGGGGUCCUGACAUGCAAAAUCCGACAUCCCAUUUCGGCCCAACCUUCCCUCUCGUUCUCCGCCUCCGGCUCCGGCCACGCACCUCACGAGUCACCAGGGACAGGGACAAACGCUACGCAAAAUCAACGAACGCCCAGCGCCCAGUCAAACACUCGGACCCCUUCUCCUCCCUUCCCCCCCUCGCCGCCUCCCCGGACCCCGUCCCGAUCCCACCGAACCCAUGGCGUCGGAGAUCGAGGUGCUCGAGGACACCACCACCUCCUCGACCUCCCUCGUCGCGGCCGCGGCCGCGGCCGCGGCCCCUUCCGCCGCGGAGGGCGCGGGGGCGCCGGCGGAGGACGAGUCGCUGAAAAACGACGUGUACACCGCGGCGGCGUACGGCGAUCUGGAGAAGCUGCAGCGGCUGGUGGAGGGGGAGGGCCGCCCGGUCACCGAGCCCGACGGCGGGGGCUACCACGCGCUCCAGUGGGCCGCGCUCAACAACCGCGUCGCCGCCGCGCAGUACAUCCUCGAGGUUGCCCUCUGCCCCCGCUCCCACGCCCCCUCCAGCGCCUCGCAAUAUGGCCUUUUAUUUAUAUGUAUAGUCGUUCGCUUUGCGUUGCUAUUGGGGGAUUUAGGGUACGUUCCAGAAGGCUGAAUUGCGAUGCAAUGAACUUUCUGAGCUGGAAUUUUGUGUGCCAGAACCGUGGGCUGUUUGUGUAAUUGCGUGAAGGAGCUAUGCACAUUCGGUGGUCAUCAUUCCGGUCAGUUUCUAUGGCCGAGGCAUCCUUGUUUGUAGGUGUGCUGCUGCGAGCUGAAUGCUUUACCAUGCUGAUGGGUUUGGAAUUUCAGAGCUGGUUUAUCUGGAGGGAUUUGGAUGGGUGAAGGUUGUUAGUACAUCUGGAUCAAGUUUACUUGCUGACAGUUGCAACAGGACAGUUCAGGAAGAAUGCAGAUGGCUUUGCGGUGUCAACUAGCUACUUCUAUUUAUGCCUUCAACCAUUUCAAUUUAUAUCAAAUGUGUCAAUAGUAUGCUUAGGAUAUAGUCUAGACCAAGAUGAUUACUACUCAUGAUAUGCCUUUUAUUGCAUGGAUGCAUGAUCUCACGCAAUACCCAUAUUGUGAUGAUGCGGUUUAUUUUGUAUCUUCAUGUCAUAGUAGAUAGCACUUUGUUAUUCUGAUCACGUGGUUGUGGUUGAAAGGCAUAUUAACUACUUUUGGUUGAUGACUGUUGUUGAUUGAAUUUCCUCGGUUCCCUUUGGUGAUGAUUUUGUGCUUGUAUUUGAAUAGCAUGGAGCAGACAUAAAUGCUGUGGAUCACACUGGACAAACAGCACUUCACUGGAGUGCUGUACGUGGUCAUAUUCAAGUUGCUGAACUACUUCUGAAAGAAGGAGCUAAGGUGGAUGCUGCUGAUUUAUAUGGGUAUCAGGUCUGUAUCCUCUUCCCUGCUGUGUCUUUGCCUCUUUGGUCCUUGUUGUGUCGAUCUCCACUUUUAGCUGCCUAUCGCCGCCGGUAGCCAACUAAAGCAUUUUUUGGAUGUAUAUCUGCCAGCUGACCAAUUACCAGGUCAGAGGUUAAUAGUAGACUAAAAACAUACUUUGGUCAUGUGAUUGUUCCGCAUUAGGGGAAAAAAGAAUCACUGAAGUUGAUUAUGCAGAGAAUUUCUCGCAGCUCUUUAAGUUCAUAUACUUCUGUGUUCAGGCGACACAUGUUGCAGCACAGUAUGGUCAGACUGCAUUCAUUUACCACAUUGUUGCGAAAUGGAAUGCUGAUCCAGAUAUCCCUGAUAAUGAUGGAAGGAGCCCUUUACACUGGUUUGUACUUGUGUUAUAUGUUUCUAAUUUGCCUCGUAAUUCCUGCUUGUGCACUUUGUAACAUACUGCCCUGCUGAAUUUUAACAUUUUGCUGCUUAUUUCUCUCUCUGUUUUUACAUAUUACCUUCUAGGGCUGCUUAUAAGGGAUUUGCAGACUCCAUACGGCUUCUUUUGUUUUUGGAUGCUUAUAGGGGACGGCAAGACAAAGAAGGCAUGUGUAAAUUUAUAUCAUGCCUAUAUUAUUAUGAUCAUUCCUUUGGUAACUAUAUCAGCUUAUUUGGUUGCUGUCCCUUUUAACUGCAAAUGCUACUCUUAGGUUGUACUCCUUUACAUUGGGCUGCUAUUCGGGGGAACCUUGAGGCAUGCACUGUCUUAGUUCAGGUUGGCAAAAAGGAUGAUUUGAUGGUGAAAGACAAAACUGGCUUAACUCCAGCACAGCUUGCUGCCGAUAAGAAUCAUCGGCAAGUUGCAUUUUUCCUCGUGAGUAAAAUUAACCAUGCCAUUUAUAUUUCGUAAUAUACUUGAAGUCCUGUUUCUGCAGCAUCAUAAGAGUCAAAAGUCCCAAUGUCCUAACAUUACCAUCUGCUAGGUAUUAUGGCAGCAAGUUCCUUACUAUGGUUUUGCAUGCAGACGUGUUAUAACCACAAAACAUUUUGUCUUAAGCAAGUUGGGGUAGGCUUUAGAUGAAAUCUGACAUGAGGCACAUGAACUACUAAAAGAGCAAUAAAGUAAUGAAAUAAAAAUGGUAAUAUAACACUAGACUACUAGCUGCUAAUGAUUGUUGUUUAGGGUGCUCUAUUUUUAAGUUUUGAUUGUGGCACAUAGAUUGCUAAUAUACAGACAUGUUACUGUUAAGGAUUAAUUGUUUGGAUCGUUGUAUGUUUGCAACUUUGUAUGCCUGUUUCCCUGUAAAUUAUUGUUAACCGAUUAGGAGCAUGAUAACAUGCUGUCUAAUCUGUUUAGUGGUAAUUUUCCUCUGAAUUUUGAAGUAAGAACUAUGUGUUAAAAUACUGAAACAGAGGUAACCAAGGAGGAAAAAUGAUUUGGUUUAGUUUGACUUGGCACCUUUCUAAUGUUGUAAAUGGUUAAAUGGUUACCUUCUACUCCCUCCGUCCGCUUUUCAUCAUCAUAUUUGCCUUGGAAAAGUGUCCUGGUUUGAUCAUUGUUAAAAGGCUUUGGCGCCGAUCUUCCUCAGUAUGAGCGGCAACGUUCACUUCGUUUCUCAAACGCCAACAUGCAGCUGCCCAGAAGUUAAUACGCUCAUGUCAUCUCACUCCAACAUUCACUUGCAGAUGAGGAUAAAAAUCCUGCAUGAUCUGUGCAGGACUCAUCUAGUACUACUCGUGUUCUAGCAAAAAAAAAAAAAAACAGCUCCCAUCAACGCCUUCAACCACCGUGCGAGAGGCCAUCAGCCAUGGAGGAAGGUCGCUUGCGCGGAGUAAACUGGGCACCUGACUCCAGUGACGAUGAAGCUGAUGAGAAGAAGGCCCCUUAGGACUGAGAUGGGUGGCUUAUAUAGAGCCAUUGAUAGCCACAGAAAAAAAUUGAAAUUGGGGAGGAGAAUGGCGCUUGGCUGGAAACAAAGGGCCUUGCGCCCUUGCCUCCAAAUUUUCACGUUGAUUUGCCUCCAAAAUUUUGGACAAGAGAAGAAAUUGGGGAGGAGAAUGGUGUGACCAAAUUCCUUCUCGCAUGG
rnacentral:lncRNA from 1 species